rnacentral:rRNA from 1 species
GUCUAUGGCCAUGCCACUCUGAACAAGCUAGAUGUCUGAUCUUGGAAGCUAAGCAGGGUCGGGCCUGAUUGGAUGGGAGAUCACCUUAGAAGACCAGGUGCUAUAGGCG